UUUUAAAAGAACAAAAAAUUAUACCUCAGUGCAUCUGAUACUUCGGAAACGGACAUUCCAGAGAGGUCAUAUGGUGGAAUCCAAUUUCUUGGCGACUAGAUAAUUUGAAAAGAGAAAAUUGAAUAAUUGUGAAAAUUGAAUUGAAAUACUGAUAGUUUAACUUACUGGAACAUAGUUACAAGCAAAGGAAACAUGUUGUAAUGGAUUGCUGUCAUCACUUAUAACAGAGAACUGAGAAACAUGAUAAAAUCCUGUAAUGAAAAACAAUUACAGACAAUCUUAACACAUUUUACCAUCCCGUUGACGACCUGAUUUCGAAGUGCUGGAACUGCUUGUUGAUGACGUCGACGGGAAUGUUGAACUUUGAGAAUUUU